AUGUAUUCUUAGAUUUGCAACAUGUUGAGUUUUUUGAACUUCUUUGGUGGUUAAUUGACUUUUCAAGCAGGCACCAGUUGGAACAACUAAAGUACAGAAAUUUAAAAUUAAAUCUUCAUGAAUUUGAAAACCUCAAUCAGCCAUAACUUCGUCAUCUCUCUCUAGUAGAUUAUAUAUACCACUAUCUCUUGUAAUAAACCUAUCACUUGCUCUUCCACCAUAACACGAAGAAAGAAAUGUAAUAUAUCGAGUUGGACUAACACCUAUUAAAAAAUUAAAUGUAUUAUGAUGCAUAUAUUCUGACCAGGUGCUUGAUUGCUUAUCAAGGGACUUUGAACGUUCUAUAAACACUUCUGCACAAUCAAGAAUUACUCAACAUUUUUGAUAACCAGCUUUCACAAAAACAGGUGGCAGAUUGUUACGAAUAGAUUCAUGUGAAAGCCAUACAACUAAUGCUUGUCCUAAAACUUGACUUAACAUUUUAAUCCAAGUUGUGAAUGUACAAUGCUGGGGAUAUGCCAAAACGAUCAGCUAAGUCUUGAUUUAGAAGACCUAAUCUUAUAUGCAUUAAAACAAAAUUGGUAAACUUUUUUGGACCAGACCAAUAAACUAAAUUGGGUAAAUAUGGUUUAAUUAUUAAAAACAAAUUCUCAAAUAACUUAAUUGUUGAUAAACCAGUGUAAAAGUUCAUUUUAGCAUCAGUUUUAAUUUUUUUCCAUGUAAAUACUGAACUUUCAACACUAUCAAAUAACUUUUGAAGCUUUAAUUUUUGGCAAGUUAAUGUUAACAUGUUUACUUUACUGAUGAGUGAUUCGAUUAAAUUGCUCAUGUCAACAUAUACUUUGAAAUACGAAUGAUCAGAUACUGGCAAGAAUGAUACAUUUUCUACAUGAUACAUUUGCUAAUUGUAAACUAUUUACUUCAUAUAAAUCUGUUAAAACAUCAUUAGAAUGAGGUGACUGUCCUGAAGCAAGUGUCAUCAAAGUCGAACAACUUGUAUUAGCAGUGCAGUCAAGCUUUUGCUUUUGUAAUGGUAUAGGGUGUUUUAAUAAUUUUCUUCUAGAUUUA